ensembl:lncRNA
CUCACAGAACUCUGCAGCCAUACUGCUGUGAAAGCCUCACUGUGCACACCCAACAGUGGUCUUUAAGAUGGUUUCUUUUCCAUGGGGUAUGCUUGGCAUAGCCAGCCUGAGAUUGCUGCUGGCUCAACCGUGACAGAGCACCAAACAGGGUCCAGGGAGGCAGCGUCAGAGAGGAGGUCCUGAGCAUGUCAGAGCUCUCCACAAGCACUAUGCUCCCUGGGAAUGCUUGUUAAAGGGGAGAAGUACUUCUGUCUGCAUCUAGUGAAGUCAGCCCUAUAGUAGAUGAAAUACUAAACUGCUCUGGCCAGAGAUUACACAUCCUGAUGCUCACAGAGUCUUCCAUAGAACAUAUUGCAAGGCAUAAGCAGGCAGCAGAAGUAGAGUAGUUCUAAAUGAAGUCCCUUGGAUCACUCUUCAAGGUCAGCGGCUUUUUCAUUAAGUAUGGAGAGUCAUACCUUCUUUUGAGUUACUUGAAUUCCCUGUACCCUGGACCACUGAUUUUUACUUU